GAUGAACGCGGGGGGCGUGCUUAACACAUGCAAGUCGAAGGAAGCAAUUUAUCACGAUCCUUUGGGGGUGAGGAUUUGUUGAUUGAGUGGCGGACGGGUGAGUAACGCGUGGGUAACUUCCCUUGUACAGGGGGAUAACAGUUGGAAAGGACUGUUAAUACCGCAUAAGCGCACAGCUUGGCAUGAUGCAGUGUGAAAAGUUUUUCGGUAUAAGAUGGACCCGCGUCUGAUUAGCUAGUUGGUGAGGUAACGGCCCACCAAGGCGACGAUCAGUAGCCGACCUGAGAGGGUGACCGGCCACAUUGGGACUGAGACACGGCCCAAACUCCUACGGGAGGCAGCAGUGGGGAAUAUUGCACAAUGGGCGAAAGCCUGAUGCAGCGACGCCGCGUGAGCGAAGAAGUAUUUCGGUAUGUAAAGCUCUAUCAGCAGGGAAGAUAAUGACGUAC
rnacentral:rRNA from 1 species